rnacentral:tRNA from 1 species
UCCCUGGUGUCUCAAAUGGUAAGAAUCUGCCUGCAAUGCAGGAGACCCAGGUUCAGUACCUGGGUGGGGAA